GGUGGCCCGAAGCCUGGGUGGGUCACCGCCAUAAACUUGUCAGAUGGCCGGGAUUCUGCGGCCUUGGCCUCUGUCGGGUGCCCACGUUGCGGUUGAUCCCCGGGAUGUCCCGGCCGGCCUGGCUUUGGCCAAGGAGGAUGGGGUCCCGCCCCUCCGUGGGCCUGUGCUGGUUUAGCGUGGGCCUGUGCUGGUCUAGCGUUCGGGACCUCGAAGUUAGUGGGCGCUUAUCGGGUUUAGCUACAGCUUUACGGUUGCGAAGCAGUAGGUGCAACAUCCUGUAAGAGAAGCACCUGUGUUUGUCUUAGUUCGUAACUUCAAAAGUAGACUGCCGAGUUGUACCCACUGGACCGUCAGCGUCGCGACGGUUGCGCCGUUUAGAGGGGGUGAGAUUCCGGGAGUUCGGGUACCCCAGGUUUCAGGGAGGUGAUGGAGUCAUUUCCCGGUUGUCUUGUCAGAAAGGUUUGCCUGAUCCGUCCCAGCAGGAUUCUUCUACAGAGUUAACACUAAGUUAGGUUAGUAUUCAGAGCUGCCCUUCUGGUUUUCUGAGCUCCCAACUUUCUUGGGAAUUCCUAAACUAGCUCCAAGUGCCCAUAACGAAGAACGAGUUUACUGGUUUGAAAAAUAAAAUGAAUGA
rnacentral:lncRNA from 1 species